UUAAGCAUAUCAAUAAGCGGAGGAAAAGAAACCAACAGGGAUUGCCCUAGUAACGGCGAGUGAAGCGGCAACAGCUCAAAUUUGAAAUCUGGCGCAAGCCCGAGUUGUAAUUUGUAGAGGAUGUUUCUGGCGACGUGCCUUCCGAGUUCCCUGGAACGGGACGCCAUAGAGGGUGAGAGCCCCGUACGGUUGGAUGCCUAGCCUCUGUGAAACUCCUUCGACGAGUCGAGUAGUUUGGGAAUGCUGCUCUAAAUGGGAGGUAUACGUCUUCUAAAGCUAAAUACCGGCCAGAGACCGAUAGCGCACAAGUAGAGUGAUCGAAAGAUGAAAAGCACUUUGAAAAGAGGGUUAAAAAGUACGUGAAAUUGUUGAAAGGGAAGCGUUCAUGACCAGACUUGGGCAGGUUGAUCAUCCGUGGUUCUCCGCGGUGCACUCUGCCUGCCCAGGCCAGCAUCAGUUCGCCCCGGGGGAUAAAGGCUUUGGGAAUGUGGCUCCCUCGGGAGUGUUAUAGCCCACUGUGUAAUACCCUGGGGUGGACUGAGGUUCGCGCUCUGCAAGGAUGCUGGCGUAAUGGUCAUCAACGACC
rnacentral:rRNA from 1 species